rnacentral:rRNA from 1 species
UAACACCUGGAAACAGAUGCUAAUACCGGAUAACAACAGAUGAUGCCUAUCAACUGUUUAAAAGAUGGUUCUGCUAUCACUCUUGGAUGGACCUGCGGUGCAUUAGCUAGUUGGUAGGGUAACGGCCUACCAAGGCGAUGAUGCAUAGCCGAGUUGAGAGACUGAUCGGCCACAUUGGGACUGAGACACGGCCCAAACUCCUACGGAGGCAGCAGAG